rnacentral:tRNA from 1 species
GGAGAAAUACCCAAGUGGCCGAAGGGGCUCCCCUGCUAAGGGAGUAGUAGGUUAAUAGCCUAGCGAGGGUUCAAAUCCCUCUUUCUCCGCCA